CCUACAUGUAGGUGGAGUCACUAGUAAUCGCAGAUCAGAAUGCUGCGGGGAAUGCGUUCCCGGGUCUUGUACACACCGCCCGUCACACCACGGGAGUUGGAGACGCCCGAAGCCGAUUAUCUAACCUGUUGGAAGAAGUCGUCGAAGGUGGAAUCAAUAACUGGGGUGAAGUCGUAACAAGGUAGCCGUAUCGGAAGGUGCGGCUGGAUCACCUCCUUUCUAAGG
rnacentral:rRNA from 1 species